CUGGCGUUCAUGAAGGUCAGGCCUUAAAGCAGACUCUGCGGGGCCUGACCGGAUAUCCCCCCCGCCAC